GGCGGGGUGGGGGGGAUGUAGAGACCUUCUGUCUCUACAUAGUGGCAAGCCGACCGCGGUGCGCGGGAGGACGCUUGCCCUAGGUUAGCCAAUAGAGUAGGUUCGAAUUCUGGCGCGCAGGUAAAGCGCGGGGCAACCCUGCCCGCUGCAGUUGGCAGCACCGUGCCCGCCAAGGAGACGGGUAUUGUCUCCAGGCGCGGCGUCUGAGCGGAGGUGCAGGUGCCCAGGAUAAAAGACGCCUGCACCCCUUACUCGUGGUCAUUCUGGCACAGGCAUCGGCCGCCGAAGGCUCUGCCGGUUAGUGGCUAGGAACUAUAGGGUCUGACCCAGGAGUCUUGCUUUGAGUCUCAUUAAAUCUAAAGACUUAACGCUA